rnacentral:rRNA from 1 species
UACGGAGGAUGCGAGCGCUAUCCGGAUUUAUUGGGUUUAAAGGGUGCGUAGGCGGGAUGCCAAGUCAGCGGUAAAAGUGCGGUGCUCAACGCCGUCGAGCCGUUGAAACUGGCGUUCUUGAGUGGGCGAGAAGUAUGCGGAAUGCGUGGUGUAGCGGUGAAAUGCAUAGAUAUCACGCAGAACUCCGAUUGCGAAGGCAGCAUACCGGCGCCCUACUGACGCUGAGGCACGAAAGCGUGGGUAUCGAACAGG